CCUACGGGAGGCAGCAGUGGGGAAUAUUGCACAAUGGGCGAAAGCCUGAUGCAGCGACGCCGCGUGAGUGAAGAAGUACUUCGGUAUGUAAAGCUCUAUCAGCAGGGAAGAAAAUGACGGUACCUGUCUAAGUAGCCCCGGCUAAUUACGUGCCAGCAGCCGCGGUAAUACGCAGGGGGCACGCCGUAUCCGGAUUUACUGGGGGUAAAGGGAGCGUAGACGGCAGCGCAAGUCUGGCGUGAAAGCCCAGGGCUUAACCAUGGAACUGCUUUGGAAACUGGGCAGCUAGAGUGCAGGAGAGGUAAGCGGAAUUCCAGGUGUAGCGGUGAAAUGCGUAGAUAUUAGGAGGAACACCAGUGGCGAAGGCGGCUUACUGGACUGUAACUGACGUUGAGGCGCGAAAGCGUGGGGAGCAAACAGGAUUAGAUACCCCAGUAGUC
rnacentral:rRNA from 1 species